rnacentral:rRNA from 1 species
CAGUAGCCGCGGUAAUACGAAGGGUGCAAGCGUUAAUCGGAAUUACUGGGCGUAAAGCGUGCGUAGGCGGUUUGUUAAGUCUGUUGUGAAAUCCCCGGGCUCAACCUGGGAAUGGCAAUGGAUACUGGCAAGCUAGAGUGUGUCAGAGGAUGGUGGAAUUCCCGGUGUAGCGGUGAAAUGCGUAGAGAUCGGGAGGAACAUCAGUGGCGAAGGCGGCCAUCUGGGACAACACUGACGCUGAGGCACGAAAGCGUGGGGAGCAAACAGGAUUAGAUACCCGGGUAUCCCUGUCUCUUAUACA